rnacentral:rRNA from 1 species
UACGGAGGGGGCGAGCGUUGUUCGGAAUCACUGGGCGUAAAGCGCGCGUAGGCGGUCUGGCAAGUCUGGUGUGAAAGCCCGGGGCUCACCCCCGGAAGUGCACUGGAAACUGCCAGACUCGAGUCCCGGAGAGGAGUGUAGAAUUCCUGGUGUAGCGGUGAAAUGCGUAGAUAUCAGGAGGAAUACCGGUGGCGAAGGCGGCUCUCUGGACGGUGACUGACGCUGAGACGCGAAAGCGUGGGGAGCAAACAGG